GCGCAGCCUAAACAUCUCGUUACGUGUUCCGUUUUGUCGUGGCUCAAUUAGACGGCAGUGUUAUUUGUGAGGGUAACGUAAGGCAAUUGAAGUCUAAUUUGAAGCAGUAAUGGGUCACAAAGGGAAAAGAUACUCUUCUACGUCUUCCGAGAUGACCAGUAGUGACUCUUCAAGAGAGAACUCGCUCUCUAGAGAUCAAAAGAGAGACAGACAAGCAGAGAAGAGAAAAUCAAGAGAAAGGAGAAAACUCAAGGAAAAGAGAAGAAAGCGACAUAGAUCAAGCAGUUCUAGUGGGUCCUCAUCCUCUUCGUCAUCAUCAUCAUCACAUGAAAGAGAUGAUUCAGCUAAACGACGGCGAAAGAAAAAGACCAAGAAAAGGAAGUACUCAUCAUCAGAUAGCAGCAGUAGUAGCUCAUCAGAUUUAGGUAGCAGUGAUUCGGACAGUUCAUCAAGUGAUUCAAGCCUUGAACGACGAAGGAAGAGAAAGAAGCAGAAAGAGAGCAGAAAAGAUAAGAAACAUAAACAGAAGAACAAGAAAAGGAAAAGGAAAUCUUCCAGUGGAAGUGGUCCUGUUAGAUUAUCCCAUCUUUCCCUUCCCCUGUACUCUCUUAUUCUAUUGCUUCCUCUCUCUAUCUCUAUGUUGGAGUGAUAUACAUUGGUCUCUUCAUGUUAUAUCUGCCUACGUGUGAACUGACUGACUGACCAUGGUGACGGUAAUGACUGCAGUACAUGAAUGAUGAGAAAGAUGUUGCUAGAAGCGUAGUGUCAGGUCAGAAGAUUAAAAUGAAAGUCAGAAAGACAAGCCAGGAUAAAGCACGUGAAAAGAACAGGGAACAAUUGCUCCAGUUUCUGAAUUCAACAAGGAAUUGAGACAAGGCUGAUGACAGUAGAGAUGGAUUAUUGUGUAGUAGGUUUCACGGUACACCAUGUAUCUUUCUUGGACAAGUGUUGGUGCUGAAAAGGACCACCCAAUCUUGAUGUUUCUACAAGUGUGUUCUUGUCAUCCUCAGGAGGUACAUGGUGUACAGUGAAACCUACUACACUAUUCUUCUUCGCCAUGGAAACCUUCAGAAGAUGGAUUAUUGAAUAGCUUUAUACAUCAUGAGAGUGAACAUCCCAAAUCAAAUGUGAAGAAGACGUAUAGAGAGUUUUGACAUUUGUUAUCUUAGAAUUUAUAGAUAAGAUCAGAAAAAAACUUUCCUUUAUUCUGAUUGGCUAAGAAGCACUGGAUGUCAAUUCUUUCAUGAAACACUUCCCUGAUGAAAAAAGUUUCCACUUGAGACAGGUCACCUUUCUGAAAUGCACAUUGCUUUCAAUUGGGAGACAAUUUUGGUGGCCACUGGAGACAGGUUUGAGUGUGUAUAGGAUGCCCGAAAAUCUGAUCAACUUUAUAGAAGAGGUAUUCAAAUAUCCCACAUUGUGUAAAAACUAGACUGAAAAACUGCUCUGACUUGGAUGAUUAUGUGGAAAGUAUACAGACUUAACUUAGUAAUGUGCCUUCUUGAUUGAAUUGUAUCCUGGCCAUGAUUCACAUCCACUAUAUGUGAUUUUAGGGAACAGAUUAUUUCUUUCAAUACCUCAGAUAAGGAAACAUAAAUUUACCAUUUUGUCAUAUACUUGCUGUCCAAAAUAUGAAACACAAGUAACCAACACAUUUUAGCACAUACAGCAAAAUCAAAAUAUUUUUCUGACUUAUAAAAAUUGUAAACCUAAACUUGUUUACUAAAUGAUGUGCAUACAUGAUAAUGUUGAUUUAGAGCUCAUAGAUGAAGUCAAUGGCCCUUCAAAUGUAACAUAGGUAUGGAUUAUGGAAUUUCCUUUUUAUAGUCAGUGUAUGAUAGGAGUUAUUCUAUUCAAUUGAAAUAUUAAAAGACAGGAACAACUUUACGUAUAGAUUGUAUUCUAAUGUAUGCAAAUUCUAUAAUUAAUUGAAAAAGAAAUACUUUUCUAUUAGAAAAAUACCUGUAUCAAAUUGUACUGAAUUUCCUUUUAAUGUUAAAGUUGACCCUCAUUUCUUUAUUAUUCCAAUGCAUUAAAUGGCAAGUGACAAUUCUAAAACCUUGCUCAUUAGUUUUAAUGAUAUGAGAAUAAUUUCAUAGUUCCAGAUACAGUUGUAUCUCAUUUAAAAAGUAAGGAAUUCAAGCAGUUGAUCUAUCACCCUGAAAUAAUUUGAUUCAAGUUUGUUAUGCUUGAAAAAUUGAUGUAUUAGAUUUCUGGGAAGAGCUUUGAUGAUUCCCAACAUUCUGUCAAUCUCAUUUUCUACAGCUGAAGACCUCAUCUGAAGCAGAAAGAGAAAUUAGAAAACUACCAAUAAAAAACAUCACAACAAUGCAAGUUUUAUGCAUUUUCACCUUUUGUUAGCAGAGUAUUUUGCUUUUGAAAUUAGAAGGCAUUGGAGUCCUUUGAUGUCAUACUGUGUGAGCAUGGUUGAGAUUACAUGUGUUUGUACAGUGUACGAGAAAAAAAAAAGAUACAUUUUAGUAAUUGGAUUUUGCUCACUAUUAUUACUUGGAAAUAUCCUGGAAGGUAUCCCCUGCUUUGGAAAAAAAAAAUGAAACCUUCAGCUCCAGAUUAUUUUUUUGUGUGAUUUUUUAUUUCCCACUUUAAUAUAUUGCACAACUUUCCUUCUGUAAAUGCAUUCAAAUUAUGUGUUCAAAACGUUUGCCUGGCAUUUUGAUUUGUCAAAUUCAUUUUUCGCUUCAGAUGGGAUCUUUAAUGAUAAAUUCCUUUAAAAGUGUAGGCUAAGCAUCAUUGUUUUAAAGUGUAAGACAAGAAUAUGAUAAUGAAUUGGAAAUAAAAUUGGUAAAGUUUGAUCAAUUUA